UACGAAGGGGGGCGAGCGUUGUCCGGAAUCAUUGGGCGUAAAGCGCGUGUAGGCGGCUCGAUAAGUCUGCUGUGAAAGUUCAGGGCUCAACCCUGAAAUGCCGGUGGAAACUGUCGGGCUAGAGUCCGGAAGAGGCGAGUGGAAUUCCUGGUGUAGCGGUGAAAUGCGCAGAUAUCAGGAGGAACACCAAUGGCGAAGGCAGCUCGCUGGGACGGUACUGACGCUGAGACGCGAAAGCGUGGGGAGCGAACGGG
rnacentral:rRNA from 1 species